AGGACGAACGCUGGCGGCGUGCCUAAUACAUGCAAGUCGAACGGUCUUUCUAUGGAAGCUUGCUCCACUGAGAAGAUAGUGGCGAACGGGUGGGUAACACGUGGGUAACCUGCCCAUAAGAGGGGGAUAACAUCCGGAAACGGGUGCUAAUACCGCAUAGUUUUCUUGAUCGCAUGAUUGAGAAAGGAAAGACGGCCUUUGUGCUGUCGCUUAUGGAUGGACCCGCGGCGUAUUAGUUAGUUGGUGAGGUAAUGGCUCACCAAGACGAUGAUACGUAGCCGACCUGAGAGGGUGAUCGGCCACAUUGGGACUGAGACACGGCCCAAACUCCUACGGGAGGCAGCAGUAGGGAAUCUUCCGCAAUGGACGAAAGUCUGACGGAGCAACGCCGCGUGAGUGAAGAAAGGUUUUCGGAUCGUAAAACUCUGUUGUCAGAGAAGAACAAGUUGGAGAGUAACUGCUCCAGCCUUGACGGUAUCUGACCAGAAAGCCACGGCUAACUACGUGCCAGCCGCAGC
rnacentral:rRNA from 1 species